GACCGGUCCCUAAUGGAAAAUUACUACAUAUUUGACAAUUCCAUAAUUUCGUUAUAGAUGGGUCGUCAUUUUUUAUAAGCCAUUAUAAGCCAUUUAAAACAACAACGGCCCAUGCUCGCAGUCCUUGCUUUACCAGAUAUAAAACACAGGCUCGAGUGACACUCGAGCUGCGCUCUCGUGUUUUCAGAUCUGUUAAAGCACUCGUGUUUUAAAUAGUACAUAUGGUAUAGCCAAAGUAUAAUUAUGUACAGCAUCAGAUAAGUCUUUGCGCCCUGCAUUACCAUCUAACCAUGCUAUAUAGAGUUAAUGCCUGAACCUAUGCUUCUUUAUUGACCCGUAGUACAAAUUCACUUAUAGGAUGUCUUAUAGCGAAAGCAACUGAAGUUCAUUAUUUCCUAUGCUGAGUAGGCCGAGUAGCACGUGUUCAUUUCAGCUAGCUGUCCUCCAGAUAUCAUGCACGAGCCACGAACUCAUUUUAAGUUCAACCACAAGUGGUCAAUAGUGAUAACUACCAACCAGUCAGGCGUCAGCUCUAUAUAUAUAUAUCUGUAAUUCGGUCUAUAUACGAAAAAUGAAGCCAAGAUGGCGGAAUUGACGUCCAAUAGCUAUGACCUAUGAAGUCGUAAGCUGUUUUAAUACCAUGUUUCCCCAGCUAAUUCCAGUUUUUUCUAACAGACCGUAUCGCUAAUAAAGUUAUCAGUUCAUAAAAUCAUAGUAUAUUAUUCUUUAAAUCGAAGUCAAAAGACAAAAUUUUGGCACACUCCUUGCAAACCGCGCAGACAAAAGCAAUAGAAAGGGAUUGAAACUGACGUCCAAUAGCUCCAUCUUCAACCUCGUACUAUUAACA